AGGACGAACGCUGGCGGCGUGCCUAAUGCAUGCAAGUCGAGCGACGAAUAGGUGCGGGUAACCAAACCUAUUACGGAGCGGCGAACGGGUGAGUAACACGUGAGCAACCUGCCCCGAAGACCGGGAUAGCCCAGGGAAACUUGGAUUAAUACCGGAUAUCCUCCUUUGAUCGCAUGGUCGUUGGAAGAAAUGCUUUUACGCUUCGGGAUGGGCUCGCGGCCUAUCAGCUUGUUGGUGGGUAACGGCCUACCAAGGCGUCGACGGGUAGC
rnacentral:rRNA from 1 species